CCUACGGGAGGCAGCAGUGAGGAAUAUUGGUCAAUGGACGAGAGUCUGAACCAGCCAAGUAGCGUGAAGGAUGACUGCCCUAUGGGUUGUAAACUUCUUUUAUAAAGGAAUAAAACGAGGCACGUGUGCCUUUUUGCAUGUACUUUAUGAAUAAGGAUCGGCUAACUCCGUGCCAGCAGCCGCGGUAAUACGGAGGAUCCGAGCGUUAUCCGGAUUUAGUGGGUUUAAAGGGAGCGUAGAUGGGUUGUUAAGUCAGUUGUGAAAGUUUGCGGGUAAACCGUAAAAUUGCAAUUGAUACUGGCAGUCUCGAGUACAGUUGAGGUAGGCGGAAUUCGUGGUGUAGCGGUGAAAUGCUUAGAUAUCACGAAGAACCCCGAUUGCGAAGGCAGCUUACUAAACUGUGACUGACAUUGAUGCUCGAAAGGGUGGGUAUCAAACAGGAGUAGAGACCCGGGUAGUC
rnacentral:rRNA from 1 species